rnacentral:tRNA from 1 species
GUCCUCAUAGCUUAACACCAAAGCAUGGCACUGAAGCUGCCAAGAUGGCAUAUAACUGCCUGCGGACA